ACUACAAUUUUGAAGCCUCAGCCAACAAUGCAAACUGGGUAUAAAGCAAGAUUGACAGCAUGUUCUGAACUUACUGGAGGAUGGCGUAUUAACACUGUCCACUUAGAGCAUAAUCACAAAACAAGCCCAUCCAAAUCAUGGCUAUAUCGAUGUAAUCACCAGAUUAGUGCAUGCAUGAAAAGGUAGCUUGAAGUUAACGACAUUGGUGGAAUACCAUUGCGCAAGAGUUUUAACUCAGCCGUAGUUGAAGCUGGUGGGUAUGACAAGAUUGCAUGCGUUGAGAAAGAUUGUAAAAAUUUCAUUGACAAAGUCUGACGUUUGAAACUUGGUGAAGGAGACGCGGUUGCAAUACAAGCAUAUUUUUCCAAGAUGCAAGCGACUAGUCCUGGCUCUAUUUUAGUAUAGACUUGGAUGACGAAGCCCGACUACGGAAUAUAUUCUGGGCAGGUAACAGGUGCAGGCAAGCGUGUAAGGAAUUUGGUGAUGUAGUCACAUUUGACACUACGUACUUGACUAAUGGGUACAAAAUGCCAUUUGCUCCAUUCGUUGGGACAUCAUGGACAAUCAACUCUUCUAGGAUGUGGUUUGCUCUCAAAUGAGGAUACAAGGACUUUUGUAUGGCUAUUCAAGACGUGGCUUCAAUGUAUGCAUGAUCAAGCCCCACAUGGAAUUGUUACAGAUCAAGACCGUGCUAUGCAAAAUGCAAUUGAAAUCGUGUUUUCGAACACAAAACAUAGAUGGUGCUUAUGGCAUAUAAUGAAAAAGUUACCCGAAAAUUUUGGUGGGCAUAGACAUAAAGCACCAAUUCUUCAUGUUUUGCGUCGUUUGGUGUAUGACGUCCACAAUUGUGAGGAAUUUGAGCAAGGUUGGAAGAAGAUGCUCGAAGAUUAUGAUUUACACGAGCAUACUUGGUUAGCGGGUCUGUACAAUGAAAGAAG
rnacentral:lncRNA from 1 species